rnacentral:rRNA from 1 species
CCUACGGGAGACAGCAGUGGGGAAUAUUGCGCAAUGGGCGAAAGCCUGACGCAGCGACGCCGCGUGAGGGAUGAAGGUCUUCGGAUCGUAAACCUCUGUCAGCAGGGAAGAACGGUCACUGUGCUAAUCAGCAGUGAAUUGACGGUACCUGCAAAGGAAGCACCGGCUAACUCCGUGCCAGCAGCCGCGGUAAUACGGAGGGUGCGAGCGUUAAUCGGAAUUACUGGGCGUAAAGCGCUCGUAGGCGGUAUGUCAAGUCAAGGGUGAAGUCCCCGCGCUCAACGUGGGAACUGCCUUGGAAACUGGCAAACUGGAGUGUGUGAGAGGAUAGUGGAAUUCCAGGUGUAGGAGUGAAAUCCGUAGAUAUCUGGAGGAACAUCAGUGGCGAAGGCGACUAUCUGGCACAUAACUGACGCUGAGGAGCGAAAGCGUGGGUAGCAAACAGGAUUAGAUACCCGAGUAGUC